AAGUCAGCACAACGGCUUCAGGUAAAUUUAGCAAGUAAGAUUUUUAUAAAGAAUAUGUCAAGUCAGCACAACGGCUUCAGGUAAAUUUAGGAAAUAAGAUUUUUGUAAAGAAUAAAAUUAUUAUUAAUAAACUGGACGGCAAGCCGCUCAGUACGGUAAACCGGAGUUUUAUUAUUCAAACGAAAGAUAUGUAAUUUCCGAUAAAUUACAUAUCAUAUCGUAAUUGGCGCAGUCGAACGGAACGGUUCCAUAUUCUCUCUCAGCUUCGCUCAGCUAGCAAAGAAAAGCUAAAUAAAAGCUAAAUAAAUUAUUAUUAAACAAAAGUACUGUUAUUAAAAGAAAAGUGGCAAAGAUACAGCUAAUUAUAUAAAUCCCAAAGCAGAACAAAAUAAUACAUUUGAGUUGGAAAACUAUAGCAAAAGCAAAAACAUAAUUCAAAAAGUGAAAGAAUUUGUGAAAGUGCAAAACAAAAAUUAUUUUGAGAAAAAAUAAAGAAAACUGUUGAAAACCCUAAAAGUGAGCUCUAAAAUAUUCCAUUGGAUUACUGCAUUUGGAUUACCUUUAAUACAAAAACAACUACAUCAACAGCGGCAACAGCGGAGACAGCAGAAGCAGCUUUAACAAAACAAAAAAAACAACAAUAUCAACAGCAGCAACAGAGAAGACAGCAGCAGCAGCUUUAGCAAAACAAAAAAAACAACAACAACAGCAGCACCAACAGCAAGAUGACGAUAAUAAUUAUUUUUUUAACAAUAAUCAUAUCAUUGGUGACAGCACUUUU